rnacentral:rRNA from 1 species
UCAAGCUACUAAGGGCAUACGGUGGAUGCCUAGGCGCCAGGAGCCGAAGAAGGACGCGGUAAGCUGCGAAAAGCCACGGGGAACUGCAAGCGAGUAUUGAUCCGUGGAUAUCCGAAUGGGGAAACCCGGCCAUCGUAAUGGAUGGUCAUCCGCAAGGAAGGGAACCCGGGGAACUGAAACAUCUAAGUACCCGGAGGAAAAGAAAUCAAACGAGAUGCCCACAGUAGCGGCGAGCGAAGAGGGCAGAGCCCAAACCUGUAAGCUACGGCUUAUGGGGGUUGAGGACUGACGUAAUUAAGGCCAGGCUUAGCUGAACUACCUGGGAAGGUAGGCGAUAGAAGGUAAGAGCCCUGUAAGCGAAAGGCAGAGCCUUAAGGUCAGUAUCCAGAGUACCACGGAGCACGAGGAAUUCUGUGGGAAGCAGGGGGGACCACCCUCCAAGGCUAAAGACUAACUGGCGACCGAUAGCGCAUAGUACCGUGAGGGAAAGGUGAAAAGAACCCCGGGAGGGGAGUGAAAUAGUACCUGAAACCGUAUGUCUACAAGCAGUCGGAGCGAAAGCGACGGCGUGCCUAUUGAAGAAUGAACCAACGAGUUAUCUGCACUAGCGAGGUUAAGUGGAAGACACGGAGCCGUAGCGAAAGCGAGUCUGAAAAGGGCGGCGAGUUAGUGUAGGUAGACCCGAAACCGCAGUGAUCUACCCAUGUCCAGGUUGAAGCGCAGGUAAAAAUGCGUGGAGGACCGAACCGGUGAGCGUUGAAAAGCUUUCGGAUGAGAUGUGGGUAGGGGUGAAAUUCCAAUCGAACGCGGAGAUAGCUGGUUCUCCCCGAAAUAGCUUUAGGGCUAGCCUCAGGUAGUAAGUAUAGGCGGUAGAGCACUGAUCGGGCUAGGGGCCAUAAAGGUUACCGAACCCUGUCAAACUCCGAAUGGAUAUACUGCAGAGCCUGGGAGUCAGACUACGAGUGAUAAGAUCCGUGGUCAAAAGGGAAACAGCCCAGACCACCGGCUAAGGUCCCAAAUGCCGUACUAAGUGGAAAAGGAUGUGGGGAUUCAUAAACAACCAGGAUGUUGGCUCAGAAGCAGCCACCAUUUAAAGAGUGCGUAAUAGCUCACUGGUCGAGAGUCCCUGCGCCGAAAAUUUCCGGGGCUAAAGUACGGAACCGAAGCCGUGGCUGUGCAUGUAAGUGCACGGGGUAGGGGAGCGUUGCCACAGGGGUGAAGCUGGUCUGGAAGGACUGGUGGACUUGUGGGAAGUGAGAAUGUUGGUAUGAGUAGCGAAAAGAAAGGUGAGAAUCCUUUCCACCGAAAGCAUAAGGAUUCCUGAGCAACGAUCGUCGUCUCAGGGUAAGUCGGGACCUAAUCCGAGGCAAAGAGCGUAGGAGAUGGACAACAGGUUGAUAUUCCUGUACCGGCAGCAAUUGUUUGAGCGAAGGAGUGACACAGAAGGGCAGGCAGGCGCGAGACUGGAUUGUCGCGUGCAAGCGUGUAGGGUGGUGUACAGGCAAAUCCGUACACUGAGAGCCUGAGGCGUUACGCGGAGCGAGCAGAGAUGCGAGCGAAGCUGCUGAUCCCACACUGUCGAGAAAAGCUUCUAGUGAGAGAGCUGCCGCCCGUACCGUAAACCGACACAGGUAUGCGGGGAGAGAAUCCUAAGGUGCGCGGGAGAACCCUCGUUAAGGAACUCGGCAAAAUGUACCCGUAACUUCGGGAUAAGGGUAGCCGUCUUGGUGAAGGAACUAGCUUCUGGAGCUAAAGGCGGUCGCAGAGAAGAGGCCCAAGCGACUGUUUACCACAAACACAGGUGCCUGCUAAAGCGAAAGCUGACGUAUAGGUGCUGACACCUGCCCAGUGCUGGAAGGUUAAGGAAGGAUGUCCGGGCAACCAAAGCAUUCGACCGAAGCCCCAGUGAACGGCGGCCGUAACUAUAACGGUCCUAAGGUAGCGAAAUUCCUUGUCGGGUAAGUUCCGACCCGCACGAAAGGUGUAACGAUUUGGGCACUGUCUCAACGAGGGACCCGGUGAAAUUGAAGUACCUGUGAAGAUGCAGGUUACCCGCGACUGGACAGAAAGACCCCAUGGAGCUUUACUGUAACCUGACAUUGGGUUUUGUUGUAUUACGUACAGGAUAGGUGGGAGGCUUGGAAGGCUGGACGCUAGUCUGGCUGGAGCCGGCGUUGGGAUACCACCCUUGAUACAACGGAAUUCUAACCGAGAGAGUAACGAAAUCCGGGACAGUGUCAGGCGGGCAGUUUGACUGGGGCGGUCGCCUCCGAAAGAG